AGUGAACGCUGGCGGUAGGCCUAACACAUGCAAGUCGAACGGCAGCACAGUAAGAGCUUGCUCUUACGGGUGGCGAGUGGCGGACGGGUGAGGAAUACAUCGGAAUCUACUUUUUCGUGGGGGAUAACGUAGGGAAACUUACGCUAAUACCGCAUACGACCUACGGGUGAAAGCAGGGGAUCUUCGGACCUUGCGCGAUUGAAUGAGCCGCUGUCGGAUUAGCUAGUUGGCGGGGUAAAGGCCCACCAAGGCGACGAUCCGUAGCUGGUCUGAGAGGAUGAUCAGCCACACUGGAACUGAGACACCGUCCAGACUCCUACGGGAGGCAGCAGUGGGGAAUAUUGGACAGUGGGCGCAAGCCUGAUCCAGCCAUACCGCGUGGGUGAAGAAGGCCUUCGGGUUGUAAAGCCCUUUUGUUGGGAAAGAAAAGCAGCAGGUUAAUACCCCGCUGUUCUGACGGUACCCAAAGAAUAAGCACCGGCUAACUUCGUG
rnacentral:rRNA from 1 species